UACGUAGGGUGCGAGCGUUAUUCGGAAUUACUGGGCGUAAAGCGUGCGCAGGCGGUUGUAUAAGACAGCGGUGAAAUCCCCGGGCUCAACCUGGGAACUGCCUUUGUGACUGUAUAGCUUGAGUGCGGCAGAGGGGGAUGGAAUUCCGCGUGUAGCAGUGAAAUGCGUAGAUAUGCGGAGGAACACCGAUGGCGAAGGCAAUCCCCUGGGCCUGCACUGACGCUCAUGCACGAAAGCGUGGGGAGCAAACAGG
rnacentral:rRNA from 1 species